rnacentral:rRNA from 1 species
UUAAGCGACUAAGCGUACACGGUGGAUGCCCUGGCAGUCAGAGGCGAUGAAGGGCGUGCUAAUCUGCGAUAAGCGCCGGUAAGGUGAUAUGAACCGUUAUAACCGGCGAUACCCGAAUGGGGAAACCCAGUGUGACUCGUCACACUAUCAUUAACUGAAUCCAUAGGUUAAUGAGGCGAACCGGGGGAACUGAAACAUCUAAGUACCCCGAGGAAAAGAAAUCAACCGAGAUUCCCCCAGUAGCGGCGAGCGAACGGGGAGGAGCCCAGAGCCUGAAUCAGCAUGUGUGUUAGUGGAAGCGUCUGGAAAGGCGCGCGAUACAGGGUGACAGCCCCGUACACAAAAGCGCAUGUGCUGUGAGCUCGAUGAGUAGGGCGGGACACGUGGUAUCCUGUCUGAAUAUGGGGGGACCAUCCUCCAAGGCUAAAUACUCCUGACUGACCGAUAGUGAACCAGUACCGUGAGGGAAAGGCGAAAAGAACCCCGGCGAGGGGAGUGAAAAAGAACCUGAAACCGUGUACGUACAAGCAGUGGGAGCCCCACCACUAAGCCAGUGGUGAACUCCACAUACGCAUCCUUUGCUGAGGAUACGGUUAACGGAGCGAAAGCGACGUUCAACCUCAAAAGAAGCAGAGGGGGCUUAGUGGUGGGGUGACUGCGUACCUUUUGUAUAAUGGGUCAGCGACUUAUAUUCUGUAGCAAGGUUAACCGAAUAGGGGAGCCGGAGGGAAACCGAGUCUUAAUUGGGCGUUAAGUUGCAGGGUAUAGACCCGAAACCCGGUGAUCUAGCCAUGGGCAGGUUGAAGGUUGGGUAACACUAACUGGAGGACCGAACCGACUAAUGUUGAAAAAUUAGCGGAUGACCUGUGGCUGGGGGUGAAAGGCCAAUCAAACCGGGAGAUAGCUGGUUCUCCCCGAAAGCUAUUUAGGUAGCGCCUCGUGAAUUCAUCUCCGGGGGUAGAGCACUGUUUCGGCUAGGGGGCCAUCCCGGCUUACCAACCCGAUGCAAACUGCGAAUACCGGAGAAUGUUAUCACGGGAGACACACGGCGGGUGCUAACGUCCGUCGUGAAGAGGGAAACAACCCAGACCGCCAGCUAAGGUCCCAAAGUCAUGGUUAAGUGGGAAACGAUGUGGGAAGGCCCAGACAGCCAGGAUGUUGGCUUAGAAGCAGCCAUCAUUUAAAGAAAGCGUAAUAGCUCACUGGUCGAGUCGGCCUGCGCGGAAGAUGUAACGGGGCUAAACCAUGCACCGAAGCUGCGGCAGCGAACGUAUCACUUAAAGCGAUUCAGCGGGUUACGAUUGACGGAGCGAAGCGACGUCAAAGCGUAUACAAAGUCGAGUCGGUUUAAGGAUACGUUCGUUGGGUAGGGGAGCGUUCUGUAAGCCUGUGAAGGUGGCCUGUGAGGGUUGCUGGAGGUAUCAGAAGUGCGAAUGCUGACAUAAGUAACGAUAAAGCGGGUGAAAAGCCCGCUCGCCGGAAGACCAAGGGUUCCUGUCCAACGUUAAUCGGGGCAGGGUGAGUCGACCCCUAAGGCGAGGCCGAAAGGCGUAGUCGAUGGGAAACGGGUUAAUAUUCCCGUACUUGGUGUUACUGCGAAGGGGGGACGGAGAAGGCUAUGUUGGCCGGGCGACGGUUGUCCCGGUUUAAGCGUGUAGGCUGGUUUUCCAGGCAAAUCCGGAAAAUCAAGGCUGAGGCGUGAUGACGAGGCACUACGGUGCUGAAGCAACAAAUGCCCUGCUUCCAGGAAAAGCCUCUAAGCAUCAGGUAACAUCAAAUCGUACCCCAAACCGACACAGGUGGUCAGGUAGAGAAUACCAAGGCGCUUGAGAGAACUCGGGUGAAGGAACUAGGCAAAAUGGUGCCGUAACUUCGGGAGAAGGCACGCUGACACGUAGGUGAAGUGAUUUACUCAUGGAGCUGAAGUCAGUCGAAGAUACCAGCUGGCUGCAACUGUUUAUUAAAAACACAGCACUGUGCAAACACGAAAGUGGACGUAUACGGUGUGACGCCUGCCCGGUGCCGGAAGGUUAAUUGAUGGGGUCAGCGCAAGCGAAGCUCCUGAUCGAAGCCCCGGUAAACGGCGGCCGUAACUAUAACGGUCCUAAGGUAGCGAAAUUCCUUGUCGGGUAAGUUCCGACCUGCACGAAUGGCGUAAUGAUGGCCAGGCUGUCUCCACCCGAGACUCAGUGAAAUUGAACUCGCUGUGAAGAUGCAGUGUACCCGCGGCAAGACGGAAAGACCCCGUGAACCUUUACUAUAGCUUGACACUGAACAUUGAGCCUUGAUGUGUAGGAUAGGUGGGAGGCUUUGAAGUGUGGACGCCAGUCUGCAUGGAGCCGGCCUUGAAAUACCACCCUUUAAUGUUUGAUGUUCUAACGUGGACCCGUAAUCCGGGUUGCGGACAGUGUCUGGUGGGUAGUUUGACUGGGGCGGUCUCCUCCUAAAGAGUAACGGAGGAGCACGAAGGUUGGCUAAUCCUGGUCGGACAUCAGGAGGUUAGUGCAAUGGCAUAAGCCAGCUUGACUGCGAGCGUGACGGCGCGAGCAGGUGCGAAAGCAGGUCAUAGUGAUCCGGUGGUUCUGAAUGGAAGGGCCAUCGCUCAACGGAUAAAAGGUACUCCGGGGAUAACAGGCUGAUACCGCCCAAGAGUUCAUAUCGACGGCGGUGUUUGGCACCUCGAUGUCGGCUCAUCACAUCCUGGGGCUGAAGUAGGUCCCAAGGGUAUGGCUGUUCGCCAUUUAAAGUGGUACGCGAGCUGGGUUUAGAACGUCGUGAGACAGUUCGGUCCCUAUCUGCCGUGGGCGCUGGAGAACUGAGGGGGGCUGCUCCUAGUACGAGAGGACCGGAGUGGACGCAUCACUGGUGUUCGGGUUGUCAUGCCAAUGGCACUGCCCGGUAGCUAAAUGCGGAAGAGAUAAGUGCUGAAAGCAUCUAAGCACGAAACUUGCCCCGAGAUGAGUUCUCCCUGAGACUUUAGGUCUCCUGAAGGAACGUUGAAGACGACGACGUUGAUAGGCCGGGUGUGUAAGCGCAGCGAUGCGUUGAGCUAACCGGUACUAAUGAACCGUGAGGCUUAACCUU